AGGAGUCGGGGGGGGGGGGAGGAGGAGGAGGAGAAACUGAAUCUCUGCUUGUCCCCCCGCUCUUCGCAUUCCCUCUAUCCCCUUUCUCCACCCCGCGCCUCCCCCCUCCCAUUUUGCUGAUGGGAAGGAAACUUCACCACCAAAUUUGGGGGGAAGAUGACCUUGGCAGUUAUUUGUGCUCAGUUCGGAGUUCAACUUUGCCGGAUGGUUCAGUUGCUGUCACCAACACCUGGUGGGGGUAGGGGGAUCUGUGAAAGCCCGACCCACCACCACCACCACCACCAACAACAACAACAACAAAUAAACUGGCCGAAAACACGGGAGAAGUACUCCGGCUCGCGAUCUUUCUAGGCACCACUUGUGUUUACGCGCGCGUGUGUGUGUGUGUCCGUCCUCCUCUCUGUCUCUGUCUCUCUUUCUCUCUGGUGCAAACGACCCCACUGCAUACCCAGAAAUAAACAGGAGUCGAACUUGACUCCAAAAGGAAUUCACCCCUUAAGUCUUAGAUGAGCGCUUGGACGCUAUCUCCAAUUUGCGCUCCAGGCUGCCGCUGCCGGUUAAGAGCGAAAGGAUCAGCUCCGGAGCGCAACUCAUUUCGCCCGGCAGAAAAUUGCGCGUGUGAAUUAUGCGAGGGGGGGGGGGGGGCUUAUGUUCAAGGUUUCUCUGAACCGUCCCACACAGGGAGUAAGAUUUUUAAGAAAAUUGGGAUGUCUUUCCCUUGAAUAAAUCUGAUUUAAAUAUCUUUUUCUUCUUCUUCUUUCCAGUUCGUUAAAACUGGCGGAUCGGACGGCGCGAUCCUGCUAGGGCUGCUGAGAGGGAGGGUUGCGCUGCGCGAAGUCAAGGUAUUCUGGGCGCACGCAGGCAGCCGUCAGUGGGGUUGAUCAGCCAGUAGCCCUCGCUCGCCUUAUAAGAAAACCGUUCCCUUAUCAACAUUAAAAGGUCCCUUGAAAUCAUAAAAGUGCCCUUUCUUCCCGCCUAUGUCUAUCUCCUCUGUUUGUAGCGCUGGAUCCUUAUAGCUUCAGAUUCGGAAAGCUCUGAAGGGUACAGACAACGCCAAUUAUUUUACUAUACCUGGUCACCUUUGCUAACAAAACCCCUUCAAAACUUUAAAGAGAAAUUCGCUCUCUUCUUCACCUAAAUUCAGCGUGGUUCCCCUACGACACGCAAGUUCUACUUCUUAAGGCAUGCUCAAUCUUAAAUUCCUCCUAAGUGCAGCUUUAUUCCUGUUUAUUACAAGCGCUUUAAUAUGCAGAAAUAAUCAACUCGUCCAUCUAAAGUUUAGAGCAGUGGCUUUCCGCAGGUCAUCAAACAAAAGCCUUAAUUCCUGUUUUAAAUUAUUAGAAGGUGGACAUUGGCCGUAUCUUUCCCCAAUAUAUCAGGAAUAUCAAGGAGUGCAUUUUUUUUUUAAAAAGAAAAACAACAACCAUAUUUAUGAACUAUGGUCAUGCCUCACUCUUCUAUUAGAAACGUUUUCUUCAACUAAGUCGUCGCUUCCUUCUUAAAAAAGAUUAUAAAUUGUCUUUAAAAGAAAAAAAGAAGGAGGAAAAUGUAUUUAAGAAUAGACACCGCAAGCACAGAAGUGACUGUCCAGAAAGUGCCAGAUUAAAGUACGGGGGUGUGUGUGUUAAUUGUUGGGGAAAAGGUAAAGGGCACCGCGGUGUUUUCUUUGAAUUUGAACUCUCAUUCAAGAAGCACGCUCCUUUUUUUUCUCUAUGUAAAAUAUUUACAAAUAUAGACUUCAUGCGUGUGAGUUGGGGCCUCCAUUAAAAAAAAAAUUAAAUCAAAUCAUGCCGAGGUAGAAGUUUAUUUGGAUUUCUUUAAUAUGGUACAUUUAAGGGACUUGGAGGACCAUUCAACAGUCUGCCACACCUGAAAUAAAACUCCCGUUUUAAUGCCUCGCUACCAUAUUUCUGGCGCUAUUGGGGUUGCUGUUAUUAUUAAUUCUGCAUAAGCCCCCACUCUAUAAAACUUCACUCCCUUUGUCCCCUUCUUUCUCCCUCUCCCCACCCAGGCUUUAAGAAAGCUGGCUCACUGCCGAAGAGGAUAGCACACUUUUAAUUCCCUUUUUAGAAAAAAAGAAUGGAAAGGCGAUGAAAAAGAAACGUCUAAAAAGCUUCUUCGAACACCUUUAAAACAAACAAACAAAUCCACGGGAACGCCAGCAAAGAGUGACCUCCACUCGGGGAAAAAGCCAAGGGCGGUCUGGUGGAAAACGCCAGCGCGUUUCGCGCGCGCGCGUGGAAACGCGGGGAAGAGGGGAAAGUGCGGACAGCUUUUUUGGAGGCCUCGUCCUCGAGGGAGAAGGACGGUGGCGAUCUGGCCCUUUCGCUCGGCUUCCAGUUCCUUCAGAGCAGAGUGGAAACCGGGAGGGGGGAGGGGACAGACUGUCCCUGGGAGGGGGCCACGCCCCUUCCUUCCUGACACGGACUCUAGCACUGGGCAUCAUCCUUGGGUCUGAUAAGCUGCGGCCACCCCUUCCAAAGAAUGUUUUCCCCGUCCCCAACCACCCCCUUUUCAAGGUUUGCUGCCCUAGACGACCGUCGUCGCUGGAUUUCAGCUGGGCUGGCAACGGCCUUUAGGAUGAAGAAGGCAGCUUCAGUUUGGGAGGAAUGGAAAUAACAACAACAAUAGGAAUUUUCGCCUGCUUCCGAAAAAGGGACGGUGGCUUGCCAACUGUUUACAUGACAUGAAGGGGACUCAGUGAUCUUUAUUUGUGCUGCUUCGGAGGGCUGUCUAAAUACGAAUAAACGGAGGGAUAUAUAAAAAGAGGAAAGACAAUCCAAAGGCAACGGCUGUGGAAAUGAAUAUCAAGCAACAGUGGCUUGUAAACUGGAAUAGUGGAAUACAAUCUUUCAACCCAAGGGAUUUUUUUUAAAAAAAGAAACAGUCGUCAAACCUUUGGUUUGUUAGGAAAUAUGAAUUUGCAGGAUUCAGUAUAAUUCCCCGAAAUCUUCUCAAUAGGAUCCAUAUCUUGUAGAUCAUUUGGUCUGAUUCAUAAAGGAAGGAGUUGUGCUAUAGUUUUGAAAAUGAUUACAACCCUUGGAAUGCUUUGGGAUUGUCCAGGGAGGCUUAUAAUGGGGUUGGGGGAAGGAUUUCUUUGGUUUUAUCCCCACAACUAAAACAAAGCUGUGAAGUGGGCUGACUUCUGAGUUUCCAUGGUUGAGGGUGGCUAUGAAUCUGGAUGUUUUCUCCUCCUAAUCCAAUAUUUUAAAUAUUAUUUUUCACUUCUCUUCAGUACUUGUAAUGAGAAGACCCAAAAUGACUUCCUGAAAGGGAAUGGAGGGCAGUAAUUAACUCCCUGGACUAAGAGAGUUAACACAGUUAAUACCUACAGGAAACUUACUGAAUGCAAAGGGAGGCAAUUUGGAAAGAUGUUUGGGGAAAAUAUCCCAUGGGUAUAUUCAACUAUAUUCAACCAUUAUUGCUUGCAGUUUUUUAACCCACUGCCCUUAAAAAUGUUAAGAUUACGAAUGCCAGAAUCACAAAUCAGCAUAACCAGCAUAAAUUCUGGGGGAUAAAUCUUAAGGAUAUUAUAUUGGGGAGAAGUGAUAUACCAAGUUUAUUAAAACAUGUAAACUUCUGAAAUAUAAACAGGUUUUCAUAUCA